CCGAUAGAGGGCGCAGCACUUCCGGUGUUAUGGCGGCUACGAUAUUCAGAUUGAUCGAAUGAUCCUCCCGUAAAAAAAUCAUUUCGUCCAGUCGAGUUGUCGUUUUCUUGAUAUUAUUUCACGUAGAUUACUUCUAUAUUUAUCCGAAUGGCGACGGCUAGUCGAAGGUUAUCAACAAAUGGUGAAUCAUUGUAUCAGGUAUUGGGUUUACCAAAAACUGCAACUCAAGAUGAAAUCAAAAGAACUUACAGAAAGCUAGCUUUAAAAUAUCAUCCAGACAAAAAUCCAAAUAAUCCUGAAGCAGCAGAAAAGUUUAAGGUUGUCAAUAAUGCAAAUUCUAUUCUGAGUGAUGAAACUAAAAGAAGUAUUUAUGAUAAUUACGGUUCAUUAGGAUUGUACAUAGCAGAACAAUUUGGUGAAGAGAAUGUCAAUACUUACUUUGUUCUUACAAGUACCUGGUGUAAGGCACUGGUAAUUUGUUGUGGAAUUUUAACUGGUUGUUAUCUGUGUUGCUGCUGUUGCUGCUGUUGUAACUGCUGUUGUGGAAAAUGUAAACCACCGCAUCCUGAAGAUAUAUCCGAUUAUUCUAAUUUGCAGGACGACGAGACGGUUAAAACCGAUCCUAAAGCACCAGUGACUGAGCAGCCAACCAAACAGGAAGACACAGCUAUUCCUCUCCCUUCACCGACUAAUAAUCCCAAUGCUACUGAGAAAACAUCGUUGAGUAGCACGCCUCAGGCGACAUACUCGACAGAAAAGAACUCACCUAGUCAAUGAUGUCGAUUGCCACUCCUGGAAUAGUCAAAAAAAAUAAAAUACCCUAAGCUGUUGGAAAAUAGGUUAAUUACAUAGCACAUAAUGAAACAACAAUUUGGAUAAAUUUUUUUAAGAACUGAUGAGCAUUUUAGAUAAAUGUCACAAGUUCUUGUAUAAAUUUUUGUGAAUGUGAAUUCUGUGAUAUAUGUACAUAUAUUUUUUAUCAGUUGUAUCAGUGCUUGUAUUUCAAACUAACUGUUCUGUUAUAUUUAAUUUCAGUUAAUUAUUGUUUCCAUUUAAAAGCUUUAAUUUAGAAUAUCGAUAUGUUGCAGAAAUAUUUUUAUAUAAUUUACCUCUUCCCUGAUUAUUUUAUGGAUUUUAAAGAUAUUUAUUCCCAGAAACAUUCCCAUUUUGAAAGUAUGCUGUUCUAUAGAAGUUUUCUAGUUGAUAAUACCAGAAAAAAUAGAGAAAAUGCAAUGCCUUAUCUGUGUAUUGUAAACUACUGUUUGUCAUUUUGAUUUUUAAAUGUGUUAAUUUUUUAAAAUAAUUGUAUAACUUUACUAAUUCUUUAACAAAAUAUUAACACAAUAAAUAAAAUUUUGUAUUUAUUAUAAUUCGAGUAUAAAAUUUUAGGUUCUAAAAAAAUUUUAGUUGCUUAUAGUAAAUAAGAAUGUCAUUAAUAUAGGGAUCCUAAAUAUUAACUUGCAGCUACAAUAAUCAAAAUUUUUAUUUGUAGCCUUAUCUAGAGUGAUAAUUUGUUAUAAACUAGAUUUAAUGGUAUUUGAUUUAUAAAAAUAACUUUUUGUUUAAUAUAAAUAUAUAUUUUUUUAUUUCUUGGGGGAUAUGAUUAGAAUUUUGAAACAGAUUUGGAGAAUUCAUAAAUGAAUGCAAAGAAAAUGUUUGAAGAUGUUAGGAAGAAUUAAAAUUAUUGUAAUUGAGGUUGGUUGAAGCUUGUUCCACGACCCGUUAGUCGAGAAUGAUAAGUGCCUGAUUUCGAUACAAGAUUAUUAAUCAGCAUGACAUUUAUUCCACUUUUGUAUGAGAUAAAAAUGAAAUUUUCUGGAAUAAAUUCUUUUUAGUAUGUUGUUUAGAUCUCU
rnacentral:misc_RNA from 1 species